rnacentral:rRNA from 1 species
UACGGAGGGUGCAAGCGUUAUCCGGAUUCACUGGGCUUAAAGGGUGCGUAGGAGGGCAGGUAAGUCAGUGGUGAAAUCUCCGAGCUUAACUCGGAAACUGCCGUUGAUACUAUCUGUCUUGAAUCCCGUGGAGAUGAGCGGAAUAUGUCAUGUAGCGGUGAAAUGCUUAGAUAUGACAUAGAACACCAAUUGCGAAGGCAGCUCGUUACACGAAGAUUGACUCUGAGGCACGAAAGCGUGGGGAUCAAACAGG